GAGUCGGACAGCUGACCACGGAACGUGUUGUUAAAUCAACAAGAGGUACAAUAAUCUCUCGUUCUGAGGAAGGUCCGGGCAUCGUGAGUGGAGUCUAUCGAAAGGUAGAGUGUCGCGAGGCACAGCUCUGGAACAGAAACGGCACAGCUUUCCCCAAGAAAUGAACCUUGCGGUAAUCUUUGAAGGGAAAGAUUUGAUGAAACGGCCACCUCUCCUGAUGCAACUGCCAAAGCCGCAGGCUUAGACGGAUGUCAGCACGCUUCGUUUGUCUCGCCAAGCGAGAAACAAGAAUCGACAGAACCUGGCCUAUGUCCGACUC
rnacentral:RNase_P_RNA from 1 species